UACGUAGGGUGCGAGCGUUGUCCGGAAUUAUUGGGCGUAAAGAGCUCGUAGGCGGUUUGUCGCGUCUGCUGUGAAAACGCGAGGCUCAACCUCGCGCCUGCAGUGGGUACGGGCAGACUAGAGUGCGGUAGGGGAGAUUGGAAUUCCUGGUGUAGCGGUGGAAUGCGCAGAUAUCAGGAGGAACACCGAUGGCGAAGGCAGAUCUCUGGGCCGUUACUGACGCUGAGGAGCGAAAGCGUGGGGAGCGAACAGG
rnacentral:rRNA from 1 species